rnacentral:rRNA from 1 species
AACAGCUCAAAUUUGAAAUCUGGCGCAAGCCCGAGUUGUAAUUUGCAGAGGAUGCUUCUAGGCAGCGGCCGGUCUAAGUUCCUUGGAACAGGACGUCAUAGAGGGUGAGAAUCCCGUGUGUGACCGGUUGGCACCUUCCACGUAGCUCCUUCGACGAGUCGAGUUGUUUGGGAAUGCAGCUCUAAAUGGGUGGUAAAUGUCAUCUAAAGCUAAAUACCGGCCAGAGACCGAUAGCGCACAAGUAGAGUGAUCGAAAGAUGAAAAGUACUUUGGAAAGAGAGUUAAAAAGCACGUGAAAUUGUUAAAAGGGAAGCGCAUGCAACCAGACUUGUCCGCGGUGUUCCGCCGGUCUUCUGACCGGUCUACUCGCCGCGGGCAGGCCAGCAUCGUCUGGGCGCGCCGGAAAAAGGCGUCGGGA